GGGAGUGCUUCCAUAGGAAGAAUCUGGAGACAGGUGCUGCAUGGCUGUCGUCAGCUCGUGUCGGUGACGAUGUUGGGUUAAGUCCCGCAACGAGCGCAACCCUUGCCUUUAGUUGCCAGCAGUUCGGCUGGGCACUCUAAAGGGACUGCCGGUGUUAAACCGGAGGAAGGUGGGGAUGACGUCAAGUCCUCAUGGCCUUUAUGACCAGGGCUACACACGUACUACAAUGGCCGAUACAAAGGGCAGCGACAUCGCGAGGUGAAGCCAAUCCCAUAAAAUCGGUCUCAGUCCGGAUUGGAGUCUGCAACUCGACUCCAUGAAGUUGGAAUCGCUAGUAAUCGUGGAUCAGCAUGCCACGGUGAAUACGUUCCCGGGCCUU
rnacentral:rRNA from 1 species